UGACUCACGCGGGAAUCUUACCGGGUCCGGACACACUGAGGAUUGACAGGUUUCGAGAGUUUUUUUGGAGUUCGCUCCAGAAUGCUCUCUUAAAUAUGCUAGUCCUUUCAUGAUUAUGUGAUAGGUGGUGCAUGGCCGUUCUUAGUUCGUGGAGUGAUCUGUCUGCUUAAUUGCGUUUCACUAAAGGCGUCAUUAUAUUUUUGUGCUUGUGUUUGACCCCUCUUUCUUCGGAUUGAGCGCGUGUCUUUCACACACAAUUACUUUGACGUCUGAAAGCAACGAACGUGACCGUAACCUCUUGUUGCCUUCUCUUCUCUUCGGAGAAUGCUAGUUUUUUUCUUCGGAUAAAUUCUAGUAUAUGGAGGCUUUUACUCAAACUAGAGGGACCGCUGUUACUUUCUUUAAACCAGAGGAAGGUUGCGGCAAUAACAGGUCUGUGAUGC
rnacentral:rRNA from 1 species